UUGCACCACUGCACUCCAGCCUGGGCGAUACAGUGAGACCCAGUCUCAAAAAAAAAAAAAAAAGAGUCUUUUUUGAUGGUGGACAUCUUCCAAUGAGCAUUCACAUGGGACAGAUUUUUUUUUAGUUCUACCGUUGUUCUGAAAGCUCUAUGUAUGUUCCUCUUCCCUAAAAAUCUUUGUCACCAAGCCUCCAGAUUUAUUCCUUCUAAAAUGUUGAAAUUCCAGCUAAUUCCUUAGUUGUUACCCAGGAAACAAUGCAGAUCCUGGUCCGAGGAUGCAGCUCCUUCCAGGCAGCCUGGACUGUGAGGUGUGCUCCAUUGCUCUUCAGGAACCGUCCUUGAGAGGCGUUCCACAGCAGGCCAGACCUGGGGGGAGCAGGUGGGCCAGGCGGAAAGCACAGCACAAUUUGAGAGAUGCUGAGUACUCAUGACUCUGUGUAAGCACCUGAAUUCAGCCCUCAUGGUCUUUUCUGAGCUGUCAGUCAUUUAUCUCUAUUUAGUCAUUUUGCGAAUUGGAGUUAGCUUCCUUCCCUCUACACUCAAAGACGGCAUGUCAACAUUUUAGGCCUCUGGGUGGAAUGAACUCCCAGUUUCCUGGGAGGGAGCUGAUUGGCAUCUAUUCGCCUCUUCCUAGUUUUGUGGGGUUUCCCAGCAUGUGGAGUCAUAGAGAAAGACUGGUCCCACCUUCUAUGUAAUGCCCAAGAGAAUAGAUGACUCUCUGUCCACCCCCACCCUGGCAUCCAGGGCUUCUGGACAAGACCUAGGCUGGCUAAUUGGCUGCUUCCACAUGGGAUCCUGAAUCUGGAGCAAGUGAGGCAAAGCCCAGGGUGCUUAGAAUCCAUUCUCAGUGAGAGCAGCAGGACUGCCCGGGAGGGGAAUAGAGACGGGGACGACCGAGUCCUGCACCAGCAGAGAUGACGUCCGCAGGUGGCGGGGCAGCGCUGUGGCCGUGUCACUCCUCACAAAGCAGGGCUCUUGUGCUCGCAGCCUUCGAUACCGUCUCACUGUCUUGGCUUCUAUUUAUCUUCCAAGCCAAUUUCCAGCCUCCUACACACGUGGGGUUCUUCUGGUAUCAUUCCAGUGAAUUUCAUGUUGUUUUCUGCCCUAAGAAAACAGAGUUGGUACCUCUGCUCGACCAAGAAGCCUGAUUGAUACAGACUGAGAGCUGCAGGCUGUGUUUAUUUGCUUCAUUAACAAGAACAACUUAGGAAUGGCAACUUCCAUUGAUGAGCUUCCUACUUUGUUCUGCGGUUGGAAAACAAACAGUUGUUUCCCUGUUGACGACUGGCCACACUGGAGAGGUGAACAGUUCACUCUCAAGGCCAUACUGACUUGAACACUGGCUGUCUAGAAACAGAGAGGCAGGCAGCGGCAGACAGGAAGAGAGAUGGAGCAGAGUCCUCCAGCGGGAGCUGCACCUCGGAAGCAUCCUUAGAUGCGGCUUGGAGUUGGGAUCCUUCAAUUCCCCUCAGGAGAGUCAGCCAAAAAUAUCAACAGCCACAAUUUAUUGGACGCCUUCAGGAGAAAUGUCAAAGGCCUUUGUCCAAAGGAAACUGAGGCUCUGAGAGAGGAGUGACUUGUCCAGGGUCCUGUGAUGGGAGACUGAGCAGAAACUUUGCGAUUGGCCGGGCGCGGUGGCUCAUGGCUG
rnacentral:lncRNA from 1 species